rnacentral:rRNA from 1 species
AGCUCCAAUAGCGUAUAUUAAAGUUGUUGCAGUUAAAAAGCUCGUAGUUGGAUUUCUGGGAGGGUGCCAACGUCCGCUCGUUGCGUGUGCUGCGGCGCCCUUCCAUCCUUCUGUUAACGCCUCUUGGCAUUCACUUGCUGGUGGCGGGCUCAGAUAUUUUACCUUGAGAAAAUUAGAGUGUUUCAGGCAGGCUAGGCCGGAAUACAUUAGCAUGGAAUAAUGGAAUAGGACUAUGGUCUCUUUGUUUGGUUUGAGGGACUGCAGUAAUGAUUAAUAGGGAUAGUUGGGGGCAUUAGUAUUU